GCCAGACUCCUACGGGAGGCAGCAGUGGGGGAUAUUGCACAAUGGGGGGAACCCUGAUGCAGCGACGCCGCGUGGGUGAAGGAGCGUUUCGGCGCGUAAAGCCCUAUCGGCAGGGAAGAAGGAGGACGGUACCUGACUAAGAAGCCCCGGCUAACUACGUGCCAGCAGCCGCGGUAAUACGUAGGGGGCAAGCGUUAUCCGGAUUUACUGGGUGUAAAGGGGGCGCAGACGGCAGCGCAAGCCAGGAGGGAAAGCCCGGGGCCCAACCCCGGGACUGCUCUUGGAACUGCGCGGCUGGAGUGCAGGAGGGGCAGGCGGAAUUCCUGGUGUAGCGGUGAAAUGCGUAGAUAUCAGGAGGAACACCGGUGGCGAAGGCGGCCUGCUGGACUGCGACUGACGUUGAGGCCCGAAAGCGUGGGGAGCAAACAGGAUUAGAUACCCUAGUAC
rnacentral:rRNA from 1 species